AUGGCUCAGGAUGAACGCUGGCGGCGUGCUUAACACAUGCAAGUCGAACGAUGAAGCCCAGCUUGCUGGGUGGAUUAGUGGCGAACGGGUGAGUAACACGUGAGUAACCUGCCCUUGACUCUGGGAUAAGCCUGGGAAACUGGGUCUAAUACCGGAUAGGAACGUCCACCGCAUGGUGGUUGUUGGAAAGAUUUAUCGGUCAUGGAUGGACUCGCGGCCUAUCAGCUUGUUGGUGAGGUAAUGGCUCACCAAGGCGACGACGGGUAGCCGGCCUGAGAGGGUGACCGGCCACACUGGGACUGAGACACGGCCCAGACUCCUACGGGAGGCAGCAGUGGGGAAUAUUGCACAAUGGGCGAAAGCCUGAUGCAGCGACGCCGCGUGAGGGAUGACGGCCUUCGGGUUGUAAACCUCUUUCAGUAGGGAAGAAGCGAAAGUGACGGUACCUGCAGAAGAAGCACCGGCUAACUACGUGCCAGCAGCCGCGGUAAUACGUAGGGUGCGAGCGUUAUCCGGAAUUAUUGGGCGUAAAGAGCUCGUAGGCGGUUUGUCGCGUCUGUCGUGAAAGUCCGGGGCUUAACCCCGGAUCUGCGGUGGGUACGGGCAGACUAGAGUGCAGUAGGGGAGACUGGAAUUCCUGGUGUAGCGGUGGAAUGCGCAGAUAUCAGGAGGAACACCGAUGGCGAAGGCAGGUCUCUGGGCUGUAACUGACGCUGAGGAGCGAAAGCAUGGGGAGCGAACAGGAUUAGAUACCCUGGUAGUCCAUGCCGUAAACGUUGGGCACUAGGUGUGGGGACCAUUCCACGGUUUCCGCGCCGCAGCUAACGCAUUAAGUGCCCCGCCUGGGGAGUACGGCCGCAAGGCUAAAACUCAAAGGAAUUGACGGGGGCCCGCACAAGCGGCGGAGCAUGCGGAUUAAUUCGAUGCAACGCGAAGAACCUUACCAAGGCUUGACAUGUUCUCGAUCGCCGUAGAGAUACGGUUUCCCCUUUGGGGCGGGAUCACAGGUGGUGCAUGGUUGUCGUCAGCUCGUGUCGUGAGAUGUUGGGUUAAGUCCCGCAACGAGCGCAACCCUCGUUCCAUGUUGCCAGCACGUCAUGGUGGGGACUCAUGGGAGACUGCCGGGGUCAACUCGGAGGAAGGUGGGGACGACGUCAAAUCAUCAUGCCCCUUAUGUCUUGGGCUUCACGCAUGCUACAAUGGCCGGUACAAUGGGUUGCGAUACUGUGAGGUGGAGCUAAU
rnacentral:rRNA from 1 species